CUUAGUGGCGCAGCUAACGCGUUAAGCUGACCGCCUGGGGAGUACGCCGGCAACGGUAAAACUCAAAUGAAUUGACGGGGGCCCGCACAAGCGGUGGAGCAUGUGGUUUAAUUCGAUGCAACGCGAAGAACCUUACCUACCCUUGACAUCCUCAGAACUUGUUAGAGAUAACUUGGUGCCUUCGGGAACCGAGUGACAGGUGCUGCAUGGCUGUCGUCAGCUCGUGUCGUGAGAUGUUGGGUUAAGUCCCGCAACGAGCGCAACCCUUGUCCCUAGUUACCAGCACUUCGGGUGGGAACUCUAGGGAGACUGCCGGUGACAAACCGGAGGAAGGUGGGGAUGACGUCAAGUCAUCCAUGGCCCUUAUGGGUAGGGCUACACACGUGCUACAAUGGUCAGUACAAAGGGUUGCUAACCU
rnacentral:rRNA from 1 species